rnacentral:rRNA from 1 species
GGGGACUGAGACACUGCCCAGACUCCUACGGGAGGCUGCAGUCGAGGAUCAUUGGCAAUGCGCGAAAGCGUGACCAUGCGACGCUGCGUGGAGGAUGACGGCCUUCGGGUUGUAAACUCCUGUCAUUCGGGAAAAACGAGCGGGCCGUUAAUACCGGUUCGCAGUGAUGGUACCGGAAGAGGAAGCCACGGCUAACUCUGUGCCAGCAGCCGCGGUAAUACAGAGGUGGCAAGCGUUGUUCGGAUUUACUGGGCGUAAAGCGUGCGUAGGCGGUUCCGUGUGUCGGAUGUGAAAGCCCAUGGCCCAACCAUGGAAGUGCAUUCGAAACUGCGGAACUAGGGUGCAGGAGGGGAGAGCGGAAUUCAUGGUGUAGCGGUGAAAUGCGUUGAUAUCAUGAAGAACACCGGUGGCGAAGGCGGCUCUCUGGAAUGUUACUGACGCUGAGGCACGAAAGCUGGGGGAGCAAACAGGAUUAGAUACCCUGGUAGUCCCAGCCGUAAAUGGUGUGAACUUGGUGUAGGGGGUGUUGACCCCCCCUGUGCCGGAGCUAACGCGUUAAGUUCACCGCCUGGGGAGUACGGCCGCAAGGCUAAAACUCAAAGAAAUUGACGGGGGCCCGCACAAGCGGAGGAGCAUGUGGCUUAAUUCGAUGCAACGCGAAGAACCUUACCAGGGCUUGACAUGGCGACCCUUCGGGGGUGGUAGCGAAAGCUGCCUUUACGAUCACAGGUGCUGCAUGGCUGUCGUCAGUUCGUGCCGUGAGGUGUUGGGUUAAGUCCCGCAACGAACGCAACCCUUGUGGUUAGUUGCCACCGUCGGUGAUGAGCCGGCGAGCACUCUAGCCAGACUGCCCGUGCAAGCGGGAGGAAGGUGGGGAUGACGUCAAGUCAGUAUGGCCCUUACGCCCUGGGCUGCACACGUGCUACAAUGGUCGGUACAGAAGGAUGCAAUACCGCGAGGUGGAGCAAAUCCUCAAAGCCGACCCCAGUUCGGAUUGGAGUCUGCAACUCGACUCCAUGAAGUUGGAUUCGCUAGUAAUGGCGCAUCGGCUACGGCGCCGUGAAUGCGUUCCCGGGCCUUGUACACACCGCCCGUCACAUCAUGAAAGCCGUCUGCACCCGAAGUCACUGAGCUAACCUUUUAUUAGGAGGCAGGUGCCGAAGGUGUGGGUGGUGAUUGGGAUGAAGUCGUAACAAGGUA